rnacentral:rRNA from 1 species
UGGGGAAUUUUGGACAAUGGGGGAAACCCUGAUCCAGCCAUCCCGCGUGUGCGAUGAAGGCCUUCGGGUUGUAAAGCACUUUUGGCAGGAAAGAAACGUCAUGGGUUAAUACCCCGUGAAACUGACGGUACCUGCAGAAUAAGCACCGGCUAACUACGUGCCAGCAGCCGCGGUAAUACGUAGGGUGCAAGCGUUAAUCGGAAUUACUGGGCGUAAAGCGUGCGCAGGCGGUUCGGAAAGAAAGAUGUGAAAUCCCAGAGCUCAACUUUGGAACUGCAUUUUUAACUACCGGGCUAGAGUGUGUCAGAGGGAGGUGGAAUUCCGCGUGUGGCAGUGAAAUGCGUAGAUAUGCGGAUGAACACCGAUGGCGAAGGCAGCCUCCUGGGAUAACACUGACGCUCAUGCACGAAAGCGUGGGGAGCAAACAGG